rnacentral:lncRNA from 1 species
CAGGGCUUGGAGCUACACAAUACAUUUAUUGAGACAGUGUGCCUCCAUUAAAGUCAGGAAAAAGGAACUGUGGCAACUACAGAGCAAGUUCUAUCAACUUCCCAUAAAGAGACCUCCUACAAUUAUGAGAAGAUGGGUCAUUCUCCAACAUGGUUCUUGGUAUCCCAGAUGUAGCUUUUUUGCUUCUGAUGAUACCUAAGAGACAUCAUCUGUUCAUGAAUGAGAC